rnacentral:rRNA from 1 species
CGAACGCUUGGCGGCAGGCCUAAAACAUGCAAGUUGAACGGUUGUAGCAAUACAACGAGUAGCGGACGGGUGAGUAAUGUAUGGGAACAUGUCCUUUAGUGGGGAAUAGCUUCUGGAAACGGGAGGUAAUACCGCAUAAGACCUGAGGGUGAAAGCAUUUAUGCGCUAAAGGGUUGGCCCAUAUCAGAUUAGCUAGUUGGUUAGGUAAAGGCUGACCAAGGCGACGAUCAGUAGCCGGCCUGAGAGGGUGAACGGCCACAUUGGGACUGAGACACGGCCCAAACUCCUACGGGAGGCAGCAGUGGGGAAUAUUGCACAAUGGGGGAAACCCUGAUGCAGCGACGCCGCGUGAGUGAAGAAGUAUUUCGGUAUGUAAAGCUCUAUCAGCAGGGAAGAAAAUGACGGUACCUGACUAAGAAGCCCCGGCUAACUACGUG